UGCAUUUAUAAUUUAAUUUAUGAAAUAAUUAAUAUUUUUUAAAUGUGGAGCACGUUUUCACCUGGUUAUCGUCGAAGAUUAAAUUUAAAUUGUUGUUAUUUCUCAAGAAGGAAGUUGGGUUACUGUAGAAACAUACGUUGAAGUACUUUUUUUGAUACAUAGCUACGAAACAGAGGCUGUAUCAAAGUUUUCAUGCUAUAGUGCUGCUAAAAACUAUGGAAAUAUGGAUUCUUCUGCAAAACACAUCAAAAUAAGAUGAUUCAAUAUCAUUUAAUGGGACUCCCUUUAUGGUUUUAGGAUGUAAAUUGCUUGAUUGUAUGCACGGGAAUGAUAGAAAAGCCUCUUCUAAAGAAGUUUAUAAAAUUCAUUUAUUAUUAUAAUAUGUUUUUCUUUAUCAAUUUGUUUCCAAAAUAGCUCCUGUAUUUAAUGAUUAUAUGUCUAAACCUUUUAUUUUUGUUCUUUUGUCUAAUUUUCUUAAUAGGUAUCAGAUCACAGUUUUUCAAAAAGCUAUUUGCUAUAUUUUAAUUUCUUGGUCACCAAGAAAUUUAACUGUAGUUUUCAAAUUAAAAUUUAGAAAGUUUAAAAGUUCCCAAGUUUUAAGGUUUUAUUUCUUUGUUUGUUUAAUUUAUAUUAAUGAAAUGAGAUUUAAGUCAGUCCUAUAUUAACUAUUCAAGACAUACAUGCAUCAACUUAAAAUAUAACCAAUUAAUUUAUGCUAAUUCUUUUUAAAAUAAACUUU
rnacentral:lncRNA from 1 species